UGUAUUGUAUACUUACAAAUUGCUAAGCCAGUAGUAGCAUUAAAAAAUGUUCUUACCACCAAAAAAAAAAAAGGUUAAUUAUGUGAGGUGAUGAUAUAUGUUCCUUAAUCCCAGCACCUUGGGAGUCUGAGACAGGAGGAGCACUUGAGUGCAGGAGUUCAAGACCAGCCUGAGGAAAUGGAAGAAAGUUUCCAGAGCUAAGCAGAAACAAAUCUUCUGGUGUUUGGAGAACAACAGUAAAAGGACAAUUCUAAUAGCUUCCAGAGACACUAAAAAUAGCAAAACCCAGUUUGUUCACAAAGGAGUGACAAUCAGAUUGGCAUUCGUCUUCUUUUUGAAAACACUGGUGUUAGAAAACAAUAAAGCAAUACUAUGAAAAUUCUGAAGAAAAGUAACUUUGAUUCUAGAAUUCAUAUUCAACCUACUAUUUUAGGACAAAAUAGACAUUUUUGAGCUUUCAAGGACUCAGAAUUUAUUUCUCAACAGACCUUUGUAAUCGAGUCCAGCAAAAUGAUAAAUGUAUACAUUGAGAGAGGAGGACCUGAGAGUAAAUAGUGGUGAACAACCAAAAAAAUUAAGUCUAAACAUUUGUUGAUGUAAUAGUGUAAAUAGUUAUGUUGACAUAAUAAAAAGGCAAUUAAUACCAAUUUGGGAUUAAGAUGUCAGCGGGUUAUGUACAUGGUAUACUUAUGUGUAUUACCUAGCUGUCAGCUGAGAGGGCCUAGAACCAGUGACACCCUAACAGUAACAAGUACACUCAGCUUCCAAAUCUUAGUUUCUAAUACUAUUCUCCAAUCAAACGAGCCAGAGGUCCACGGAGAAAUGGUUGAUUCCAGGGCAGGGGCAAAAAAUAUACAAGAAGACCCUGGAGCAUCUUACAGUGCCAGAAAGUAAGAAAGCACUCAAUAAAAAGAUAGGGGGAAUAUGUCGAAGGGGCACAGGAGCCAACAGAAAGAGCUCCCAGUGCCCAAGCUGGAACAACCUGAGCAAUGAAAUAAAUAACUUAAACCUGGAUUAUAACCCAAAGCAUCAAGUAAAUAGCCAUGAGUCUAUACUGAUACAAAUGAGUGAGUGAAUGAGCAGAUAAAUAUUGAGUGACUAGACUAGAUAGGAAAGAAAA
rnacentral:lncRNA from 1 species